UGUGACCUCAAAUCAGGUAGGACUACCCGCUGAACUUAAGCAUAUCAAUAAGCGGAGGAAAAGAAACUAACAAGGAUUCCCCUAGUAACUGCGAGUGAAGCGGGAAAAGCUCAAAUUUAAAAUCUGUCAGUCUUUGGCUGUCCGAGUUGUAAUCUAGAGAAGUGUUAUCCGCGCUGGACCGUGUACAAGUCUCCUGGAAUGGAGCGUCAUAGAGGGUGAGAAUCCCGUCUUUGACACGGACUGCCAGGGCUUUGUGAUGCGCUCUCAAAGAGUCGAGUUGUUUGGGAAUGCAGCUCAAAAUGGGUGGUAAAUUCCAUCUAAAGCUAAAUAUUGGCGAGAGACCGAUAGCGAACAAGUACCGUGAGGGAAAGAUGAAAAGAACUUUGGAAAGAGAGUUAAACAGUACGUGAAAUUGCUGAAAGGGAAACGCUUGAAGUCAGUCGCGUUAGCCAGGGAUCAACCCUUGCUUUUGCUUGGUGUACUUUCUGGUUGACGGGUCAGCAUCAAUUUUGACUGUUGGAAAAAGAUUAAGGGAAUGUGGCAUCUUUGGAUGUGUUAUAGCCCUUGGUUGCAUACAAUGGUUGGGAUUGAGGAACUCAGCACGCCGCAAGGCCGGGUUUUUAACCACGUACGUGCUUAGGAUGCUGGCAUAAUGGCUUCAAUCGACCCGUCUUGAAACACGGACCAAGGAGUCUAACAUGCCUGCGAGUGUUUGGGUGGAAAACCCGAGCGCGUAAUGAAAGUGAAAGUUGAGAUCCCUGUCGUGGGGAGCAUCGACGCCCGGACCAGACCUUUUGUGACGGUUCCGCGGUAGAGCAUGUAUGUUGGGACCCGAAAGAUGGUGAACUAUGCCUGAAUAGGGUGAAGCCAGAGGAAACUCUGGUGGAGGCUCGUAGCGAUUCUGACGUGCAAAUCGAUCGUCAAAUUUGGGUAUAGGGGCGAAAGACUAAU
rnacentral:rRNA from 1 species